CUCCUACGGGACGCAGCAGUGGGGGAUAUUGCACAAUGGGGGGAACCCUGAUGCAGCGACGCCGCGUGGGCGAUGGAGCGCCUCGGCGCGUAAAGCCCUAUCAGCAGGGAAGAAGAUGACGGUACCUGACUAAGAAGCCCCGGCUAACUACGUGCCAGCAGCCGCGGUAAUACGUAGGGGGCAAGCGUUAUCCGGAUUUACUGGGUGUAAAGGGAGCGUAGACGGUUGUGCAAGUCUGAAGUGAAAGCCCGCGGCUCAACUGCGGAACGGCUUUGGAAACUGUGUAACUGGAGUGCUGGAGAGGG
rnacentral:rRNA from 1 species